UACGUAGGGCGCGAGCGUUGUCCGGAAUUAUUGGGCGUAAAGAGCUCGUAGGCGGCCGGUUGCGUCUGCUGUGAAAUCCCGGGGCUUAACCCCGGGCGUGCAGUGGAUACGGGCCGGCUGGAGGCAGGCAGGGGAGAAUGGAAUUCCCGGUGUAGCGGUGAAAUGCGCAGAUAUCGGGAGGAACACCGGUGGCGAAGGCGGUUCUCUGGGCAUUACCUGACGCUGAGGAGCGAAAGUGUGGGGAGCGAACAGG
rnacentral:rRNA from 1 species